AUUAAGUGGCAGGAGGGCGAGGGUAUUGUAUGCUGUGCCAUGGUGUCAUGUGGAUGGUGCAUGCAGGCUGAAUGUGAGUGGAUGCAUAAAUGAGCAUAAGUGGGGUAUGUAAGGUGAGUGUGUCUCCCCCUGCAUCCUCACCCCCUUCUCCAGCCUACACAUUGAUCUUAUUUGAUGGGGUUGUGUCCCCAGCCCCACUGGACCAGCCCGAGAUGAAAAGCUCUCCCUUCCUGUGAAGUACCAUCCUUGGGGUGCAAGGCCCUUUGGUAACAGCAACACCAGGGUCUCAGAGGCAUUCCCACCAGGCCAGUGCUUAGAAGUGAUGAAUUGAUCAGCUAGAUGAGCCUGGGCUUAUCCUGGGCCGCUGAUUCUCCAGUUGAUUGUGGUCUGA